ensembl:lncRNA
CCUGAAUCUACUCAGAGUGUCCAGUCCCUAUUCCAUCAACUGGCAAUGCAGCACAGCCCGUUCCCUAUGGCGUAACAGAACUACCCACCACCAAAGGACCAAGCAGCAUGGCCAGGAGGAGCAGGGAUCCUUAGCCCGGGAGAAGAGGGAGUGGAGGACCUCAUGGACAUGAGAGGAGGUUAUGGCAGGGGACAAGACCCUGCCAUGGAAACAGGCGGAAACAGCAAGGGAGCAGCGGCGGCGAUACCAGGAGUCACGGCAAUGAGCUCCCCGCAUUCGACGGGCUAGAGUGGGCAUCCAGCCAGGACGGAUGGCCUCCAGUGAUGAUUCAUGGCACGAAGCCUCCAGUGAUGAUCCAUGGCAUGAAGCCUCCAGUGAUGAUCCAUGGCACGAAGCCUCCAGUGAUGAUCCAUGGCACGAAGCCUCCAUUGAUGAUUCAUGGCACGAAGCCUCCAGUGAUGAUCCAUGGCCCGGAGUCUGCAGUGAAGAUCCAUGGCACGAAGCCUCCAGCAUUGAUCCGCGGUCCGGAGCCUCCAGCGACGGUCCCCGGUCCGGAGCCGUGCAUCUGCACAGCCCAUCCCAGUGUUGUCAUUUUGUGAGGUGUCCAUGCUGUGGAGAAUGACAUCUUAGGACAUGCACUAUGUGCCCAGGUCAAAAGUAGUGCACUAUAAAGGGAAUAAAGUGCCAUGUGGGAUGCAGACGUCUUUCCCCUCUCAGUUUUAUGGGCUCCCGAGUGGUGGAGGCGGUCUAAGGCACUGCAUCUCAGUGCUAGAGGCGUCACUACAGACCCUGGUUCGUUUCCAGGCUGUAUCUCAACCGGCUGUGAUUGGGAGUCCCAUAGGGCGGCGCACAAUUGGCCCAGCAUCCUCCGUGUUAGGGUUUGGCCGUCAUUGUGAAAAUGAUUUUGUUCUUAAGUUACUUGCCGAAUUAAAUAAAGGUUAAAUAAAAAAUUAAAUAAUAAAGUUUGGCCUGCUGCACAGAAAUCUCAUAUGCCUUAACUACAGAAGGUUUCAGACAGUACGCAGACCGUAGGUUGUACAUGGCAAUGAGGAGACGUAAAAAUUCCUGAUUGUUCCCACUGCUAAACACCUCUCUCCAGAUUUCAGGAAUACCAUUGAAGGUAUUUUCAUUAGGUAGAAAAACAGCUUGCAGGCGUUAUGCUCAUGUGAUUAUUCACAUUAAGUCAGGGAAGAGAGAGACGAGCUAACUCCAUGUUAAGUGUUUGCUAUUAAAAACUAAUGCCCCAUGUAAUUCAAUUACGUUUUUGAAAUUGGUAUCUCAUGAUGUCGAAUAUGAUUUACUAUUGGGUCAUAAAAUCAUCAGUGUUUUAUCCUCUGCCUGUAAAU